CUUGACCUCGGAUCAGGUA
rnacentral:rRNA from 1 species